UCAGUCCACGCCGAAUCCUCACGCUUCAAGUCCCAGCCCGACAGACCCAACCCUUAGAUCCAAUCCUUUUCCCAAAGUUACGGAUCUAUUUUGCCGACUUCCCUUACCUACAUUGUUCUACCAACUAGAGGCUGCUCACCUUGGAGACCUGCUGCGGUUAUGAGUACGACCAGACAAGAAAAUGAACUACUCGCUCGGCUUUUCAAGGGCCGUCGAAAGCGCACCGGACCACACAAGAAGUGUGGGGUUUUACAGGACGUGAAACCCUCUCUCCGGCUAAACCGAUUUCAGGGUAACUUUGCCCGUUAAAAAGAAAAGAGAACUUUCCCCGGGCCUCUCGCCGACGUCUCCGAGUUCUGUUGCGUUGCCGCUGGUGCCAUUAGGUUGCAGUAUCCCUGUUUUGGUUCGAGAGAAUUAACCCGAUUCCCUUUCGAUAGGCGGUCCACGAAUGGGACGCAUUGUAACGGAAUUUCCCUAUCUCUUAGGAUCGACUAACCCAUGUCCAACUGCUGUUCACAUGGAACCUUUCUCCACUUCAGUCUUCAAAGUUCUCAUUUGAAUAUUUGCUACUACCACCAAGAUCUGCACCGGCGGCCGUUUCACCCUGGCUCGCGCCAAAGGCUGCGUCACGACCGCCGCGCCCUCCUACUCGUUGGAACGUCGCACUUGUUCCGACGGCCGAGUAUAGGUGCGACGCCUGAGGGCCAUCCAUUUUCAGAGCUAGUUGAUUCGGCAGGUGAGUUGUUUACACACUCCUUAGCGGAUUGCGACUUCCAUGGCCACCGUCCUGCUGUCAAUAUCAACUAACACCUUUUGUGGGAUCUGAUGAGCGUAGACUUUGGCACCUUAACUCGGCGUUCAGUUCAUCCCGCAUUCUGCUUACCAAAAAUGGCCCACUAAGAGCUCGCAUUCGAGUGUCUGGCUUCAAAUAAUUAUUAAGCAAGUCACAAUUCUUACCAAUUUAAAGUUUGAGAAUAGGUUAAGGUCAUUUGGACCCUAAGACCGCUAAUCAUUCGCUUUACCUGAUAAAACUGCAUGUAUGAACUCCAGCUAUCCUGAGGGAAACUUCGGAGGGAACCAGCUAUUUCGCGGACUAUGGAGUGUGGACGUGUUCAAGAUUGCUCUGCUAGUCCAAGCCAAAUAUUGGCUAAAAGUUUAUCCGAAUUUACCAACGAUAAUAGUAUAAGCUUUAGCGAAUUUACCCAAACGGAUGAUUACGAAUCUUUUUACACC